AACGAACGCUGGCGGCAUGCCUAACACAUGCAAGUCGAACGCCAUGGUUUCGGCCAUGGAGUGGCGGACGGGUGAGUAACGCGUCGGAACCUGCCCAGCAGUAUGGGACAACCGCGGGAAACUGCGGCCAAUACCGUAUACGCCCGUCUUUGGGAGACCAGGGGCGGGGAAAGAUUGAUCGCUGUCGGAGGGGCCCGCGUCGGAUUAGGUAGUUGGUGGGGUAAAGGCCUACGAAGCCUGCGAUCCGUAGCUGGGCUGAGAGGAUGAUCAGCCACACUGGGACUGAGACACGGCACAGACUCCUACGGGAGGCAGCAGUGGGGUAUAGUGGACAAUGGGCGCAAGCCUGAUCCAGCAAUGCCGCGUGAGUGAUGAAGGCCUUAGGGUUGUAAAGCUCUUUCACACGCGACGAUGAUGACGGUAGCGUGAGAAGAAGCCCCGGCUAACUCCGUGCCAGCCGCCGCGGUAA
rnacentral:rRNA from 1 species